rnacentral:rRNA from 2 species
AUAGGGGAGCCGGAGGGAAACCGAGUCUUAAUUGGGCGUUAAGUUGCAGGGUAUAGACCCGAAACCCGGUGAUCUAGCCAUGGGCAGGUUGAAGGUUGGGUAACACUAACUGGAGGACCGAACCGACUAAUGUUGAAAAAUUAGCGGAUGACCUGUGGCUGGGGGUGAAAGGCCAAUCAAACCGGGAGAUAGCUGGUUCUCCCCGAAAGCUAUUUAGGUAGCGCCUCGUGAAUUCAUCUCCGGGGGUAGAGCACUGUUUCGGCUAGGGGGCCAUCCCGGCUUACCAACCCGAUGCAAACUGCGAAUACCGGAGAAUGUUAUCACGGGAGACACACGGCGGGUGCUAACGUCCGUCGUGAAGAGGGAAACAACCCAGACCGCCAGCUAAGGUCCCAAAGUCAUGGUUAAGUGGGAAACGAUGUGGGAAGGCCCAGACAGCCAGGAUGUUGGCUUAGAAGCAGCCAUCAUUUAAAGAAAGCGUAAUAGCUCACUGGUCGAGUCGGCCUGCGCGGAAGAUGUAACGGGGCUAAACCAUGCACCGAAGCUGCGGCAGCGAACGUAUCACCCAAGACAACUUUACGGAGUUGACGAUUGACGGAGCGAAGCGACGUCAAAGCGUUCAUUAAAGUCGAGUUGGCUUAGGGAUACGUUCGUUGGGUAGGGGAGCGUUCUGUAAGCCUGUGAAGGUGUGUCGUGAGGCAUGCUGGAGGUAUCAGAAGUGCGAAUGCUGACAUAAGUAACGAUAAAGCGGGUGAAAAGCCCGCUCGCCGGAAGACCAAGGGUUCCUGUCCAACGUUAAUCGGGGCAGGGUGAGUCGACCCCUAAGGCGAGGCCGAAAGGCGUAGUCGAUGGGAAACGGGUUAAUAUUCCCGUACUUGGUGUUACUGCGAAGGGGGGACGGAGAAGGCUAUGUUGGCCGGGCGACGGUUGUCCCGGUUUAAGCGUGUAGGUGUGUGUUCCAGGUAAAUCCGGUUCACUUUAACACUGAGGCGUGACGACGAGGCACUACGGUGCUGAAGCAACAAAUGCCCUGCUUCCAGGAAAAGCCUCUAAGCAUCAGGUAACA